rnacentral:rRNA from 1 species
CACGUAGGGGCAAGCGUUGUCCGGAAUUAUUGGGCGUAAAGAGCUCGUAGGCGGCUCGGUAAGUCAGGUGUCAAAUCCUCAGGCUCAACCUGGGGCUCCACCUGAUACUGCUGUGGCUAGAGUCCGGUAGGGGAGCGUGGAAUUCCUGGUGUAGCGGUGAAAUGCGCAGAUAUCAGGAAGAACACCCGUGGCGAAGGCGGCUCUCUGGGACGGUACUGACGCUGAGACGCGAAAGCGUGGGGAGCGAACAGG